rnacentral:lncRNA from 1 species
GAGACUGCUGAAGGCGAAACUAAGGAGGAAGCGCCAGAAGAGAAGGGGAAAAUAGAGAAUGAAGAUUAUGCUGACAAAUUAGCUGAGGCGACCAGGGCAGGCGAAGUUACAGUUGAGACACCAGAUGAGAAAACAGAAAAUAAAGCAGAUGUUGACACACUAGCUGGGGAGACCAAAGAAGUUGAAAUUACAGUAGGGGCACCAGAUGAGAAAAUAGAAAAUGAAGCUAUUGGGGAGACAAUCGAAGGUCAAACUACAGCUGGAGCACCAGUUGAAGAAGCCAUAACAGCUGAGGAAAUGGUAGAGGAUGUUAAGGUGCUAGAUGAUAAACCUGCAGCAGCUGAGAAACCUGUAGAGGAUGUUAAGGUGCUAGAUGAUAAACCUGCAGCAGCUGAGAAACCUGUAGAGAAUGCCACAGUUGUGACACAUGAGAAUUCAACAGUUGAGAAGACUCUGCAGGAUGCCAUUGCGCCAGCAGAUACAAAUACCACACUAGGGGAGGCCCCAACGGUGGAGAAGACUAUAGAGGAUACCUCGGUCGAGGCACC